rnacentral:rRNA from 1 species
UACGGGUAGAUCUCCCACCCUUUGAGUACUAUACUUUUGUUGCUUUGGCAGGCCGCUUCGGCUACCGGCUUCGGCUGGUGAGUGCCUGCCAGAGGACCCCAAAUUCUGAAUUAUAGUGUCGUCUGAGAACUAUAUAAUAGUUAAAACUUUCAACAACGGAUCUCUUGGUUCUGGCAUCGAUGAAGAACGCAGCGAAAUGCGAUAAGUAAUGUGAAUUGCAGAAUUCAGUGAAUCAUCGAAUCUUUGAACGCACAUUGCGCCCCUUGGUAUUCCGGGGGGCAUGCCUGUUCGAGCGUCAUUAUAACCCUCAAGCCUAGCUUGGUGUUGGAGCCUGCCUCUGGGCAGCUCUUAAAAUCAGUGGCGGUGCCGUCUGGCUCUAAGCGUAGUAAUUUUUCUCGCUACAGAGUCCCGGCGGUUGCUUGCCAACAACCCCAAAUUUUCUAUGGUUGACCUCGGAUCAGGUAGGGAUACCCGCUGAACUUAA